GAUGAACGCUGGCGGCGUGCCUAAUACAUGCAAGUCGAGCGAACAGACGAGGAGCUUGCUCCUCUGACGUUAGCGGCGGACGGGUGAGUAACACGUGGAUAACCUACCUAUAAGACUGGGAUAACUUCGGGAAACCGGAGCUAAUACCGGAUAAUAUAUUGAACCGCAUGGUUCAAUAGUGAAAGACGGUUUUGCUGUCACUUAUAGAUGGAUCCGCGCCGCAUUAGCUAGUUGGUAAGGUAACGGCUUACCAAGGCAACGAUGCGUAGCCGACCUGAGAGGGUGAUCGGCCACACUGGAGCUGGGACACGGUCCAGACUCCUACGGGAGGCAGCAGUAGGGAAUCUUCCGCAAUAGGCGAAAGCUUGACGGAGCAGCGCCGCGUGAGUGAUGAAGGUCUUCGGAUCGUAAAACUCUGUUAUUAGGGAAGAACAAAUGUGUAAGUAACUAUGCACGUCUUGACGGUACCUAAUCAGAAAGCCACGGCUAACUACGUG
rnacentral:rRNA from 1 species